rnacentral:lncRNA from 1 species
UAAAAUUGACUUCUCUGCAUGUAGAAAUGGAAAUGAUUCUGGUAAGGCAAGCACUUCAUUAAAACAUUUGUGACAGCCUAGAUGUGAUGUAACUGCUAAAAGAAAUUCAUAUAGUUAGAUUUGCAGAAGGACUUAGCUGUCAUUUCCCUGGUGCUCUUACCUGGAGAUGAAGUACCUUCCACGCUACAUUUAAGAAACUGGAAGAACUUUCACAACAGUUCAUGCCUUUAAUGAGGGCUAUGGUUGAGAAAUUAAGUUGCCCAACUACAGAUUAAGGUCAUCCCCAGCUGUCUUUGAGUUCAGCCACAACAAAAAGAAGC